UACGAAGGGGGCGAGCGUUGUCCGGAAUUAUUGGGCGUAAAGGGCUCGUAGGCGGUUUGUCGCGUCGGGAGUGAAAACUCAGGGCUUAACCCUGAGCCUGCUUCCGAUACGGGCAGACUAGAGGUAUGCAGGGGAGAACGGAAUUCCUGGUGUAGCGGUGAAAUGCGCAGAUAUCAGGAGGAACACCGGUGGCGAAGGCGGUUCUCUAGUACGGUACUGACGCUGAGACGCGAAAGCGUGGGGAGCGAACAGG
rnacentral:rRNA from 1 species